rnacentral:rRNA from 1 species
UACGUAGGGGGCAAGCGUUGUCCGGAUUUAUUGGGCGUAAAGAGCGUGUAGGCGGUCAGACAGGUCCGUUGUGAAAACUCGAGGCUCAACCUCGAGACGCCGAUGGAAACCGUUUGGCUAGAGUCCGGAAGAGGAGAGUGGAAUUCCUGGUGUAGCGGUGAAAUGCUUAGAUAUGACAUAGAACACCCAUUGCGAAGGCAGCUCGCUGGACUAUUAUUGACGCUGGGGCACGAAAGCGUGGGGAGCAAACAGG